AUACAGAUAAGCUCUAAGCAGCUGGUGAUAAUUACUUAUACAAUUAGGUAUUUAAUAAUAAAGCUAAAUAUAUAAUAUGUAUGUAUUCAUUUAAUGAGCCUUAGUUAGUCCUUAGCAUAAGACAAUCAGUAGGACAU